GACCAUGCAGCAGCUAGGAGUGUCACUUUCUGUGGAGAGGCACAAUUGCAGUGGUUUGCCUUGUUCAAAUUUGAUACCUGGACGAUAUCCAGUGAUUAGCUGCUUCAAUUGGCUUUAUUUAAUUGAAUCGGCACUGUUGCGGUGAUUUGCCCUGUUCAAAUAAACACUGGGAUGACACUCAGUGAUCAGUCACUUUAUGGGCUUGAUGUAAUCUAAUUGGUACUAUUACAGUGGUCCACUUUGUCUAAAUUGACAUCUGGAAGAUAUCCAGUGAUUUGCCAUCUUAUGGGCUUAAUUGAAUUAAAUUGAUUCAGAAUUACUCUAAAAUUUCAAAAAGGUUAUACCCAGUGGAUAAUCAGUGAAAAAGGUUACUUCCAAUUCAAUUUAAAUUGAUACCCCAUAUGGUGAAAUUUGGUCCGAUACUAUUUUAAGCAUUGUUAAAUUGCCUUUUUGAAGACACGAUAAGAUGUAUGUCCAUAUUGUGAUUCUUUGAUUAAUACACCCCUGAUGAAGUCUGUAGGAUGAAACGCGUUGGGUUAGCACAUUGUUCUCUGACAUCUCUACAAAGAAGAUCAUUUUGAUGUUGUUUGAAUUACCAACACAACUAUCGUCUGUACAAACAUUGUUUAUUGUUAUUCUGGGCAAAUUGUAAACAGUUUUAUGUAUUGCUUUUAAAAAAAAUAAACAAUCUCUCUUUUUUAA